UUGUUGCAGUUAAAAGCUCGUAGUUGAACCUUGGGCCUGGCUGGCCGGUCCGCCUCACCGCGUGCACUGGUCCGGCCGGNCCUUUCCUCCUGGGGAGCCGCAUGCCCUUCACUGGGUGUGUCGGGAAACCAGGACUUUUACUUUGAAAAAAUUAAAGGGUUCAAAGCAGGCCUAUGCUCGAAUACUUUAGCCAUGGAAUAAUAAAAUAGGACGUGGGGUUCUAUUUUGUUGGUUUCUAGGACCGCCGUAAUGAUUAAUAGGGAUAGUCGGGGGCAUCAGUAUUCAAUUGUCAGAGGUGAAAUUCUUGGAAUUUAUUGAAGACUAACUACUGCGAAAAGCAUUUGCCAAGGAUGUUUUCUUUA
rnacentral:rRNA from 2 species